rnacentral:rRNA from 1 species
UACGUAAGGGGCGAGCGUUGCUCGGAAUUACUGGGCGUAAAGGGCGUGUAGGCGGUUUAUUAGGCCGAGUGUGAAAGACCAAGGCUCAACUUUGGGAACGCGCUCGGAACCGAUAGACUAGAAUCUAGGGGAAGGUAGUAGAAUUUCCUGUGUAGCGGUGGAAUGCAUAGAUAUGGGAAGGAACACCAAAGGCGAAGGCAGCUACCUAUGCUAAGAUUGACGCUGAGGCGCGAAAGUGUGGGGAUCAAAUAGG